rnacentral:rRNA from 1 species
UGCCAGCAGCCGCGGUAAUACGGAGGGUGCAAGCGUUAAUCGGAAUUACUGGGCGUAAAGAGUACGUAGGCGGCUUUUCAAGUCGGAUGUGAAAGCCCUGAGCUUAACUCAGGAACUGCAUUCGAUACUGGAUCGCUAGAGUAUAUUAGAGGAUAGUGGAAUUUCAAGUGUAGCGGUGGAAUGCGUAGAUAUUUGAAGGAACACCAAUGGCGAAGGCAGCUAUCUGGAAUAAUACUGACGCUGAGGUACGAAAGCCCCUGCAGCUAACAGGAUCAGAUA